rnacentral:rRNA from 1 species
ACUGAACGCUGGCGGCAGGCCUAACACAUGCAAGUCGAGCGGAUGAAGGGAGCUUGCUCCUGGAUUCAGCGGCGGACGGGUGAGUAAUGCCUAGGAAUCUGCCUGGUAGUGGGGGAUAACGUCCGGAAACGGGCGCUAAUACCGCAUACGUCCUGAGGGAGAAAGUGGGGGAUCUUCGGACCUCACGCUAUCAGAUGAGCCUAGGUCGGAUUAGCUAGUUGGUGGGGUAAAGGCCUACCAAGGCGACGAUCCGUAACUGGUCUGAGAGGAUGAUCAGUCACACUGGAACUGAGACACGGUCCAGACUCCUACGGGAGGCAGCAGUGGGGAAUAUUGGACAAUGGGCGAAAGCCUGAUCCAGCCAUGCCGCGUGUGUGAAGAAGGUCUUCGGAUUGUAAAGCACUUUAAGUUGGGAGGAAGGGCAGUAAGUUAAUACCCUGCUGUUUUGACGUUACCAACAGAAUAAGCACCGGCUAACUUCGUG